GGUGAUACAGCCUGACAGGAUGCUCUCGAUUGUGCAUCUGUAAAGAGUUUAAACGAAGAGGAUCCACAUGAUCAUCAAAGUUUGGAAGGUCAAGUCCAGAAAAUGAAGAAUGAUAUCCUGGGUUUAAACUAUCCAGAAGAUAGUGAAGUGAAGGAUCCCCUGCCUCAGAUCAAGCUGAAGGCUGUGACAAGGAGAAAAGUUAAGACCAAGAGGAGGACCAGUGCCAACAGGUCCACAGUUGAACAGAGCACUGAUACUGAUGCAGCCGAGAGAGAUUUUGUUGAUAAUCAGAGUGAUGAAGAUGAGGAUAAGGUGAAGAAGAAUCCCCUGCCUCAGAUGGAGCAGGAUGCCGUGAAGAGAAAUAAAGUCAAGGUAAGGGAAUAG